GAGGAAGACGCAGUGAACUGAAACAUCUAAGUAGCUGCAGGAAGAGAAAGCAAAAGCGAUUGCCUUAGUAGCGGCGAGCGAAACGGCAGGAGGGCAAACCGAAGAGUUUACUCUUCGGGGUUGUAGGACUGCAAUGUGGACUCAAAGAUUAUAGAAGAAUGAUUUGGGAAGAUCAGCCAAAGAGAGUAAUAGCCUCGUAUUUAAAAUAGUCUUUGUACCUAGCAGUAUCCUGAGUACGGCGGGACACGAGAAAUCCCGUCGGAAUCUGGGAGGACCAUCUCCCAACCCUAAAUACUCUCUAGUGACCGAUAGUGAACCAGUACCGUGAGGGAAAGGUGAAAAGCACCCCGGGAGGGGAGUGAAAUAGAACCUGAAACCGUGUGCCUACAACAAGUUCGAGCCCGUUAAUGGGUGAGAGCGUGCCUUUUGUAGAAUGAACCGGCGAGUUACGAUAUGAUGCGAGGUUAAGUUGAAGAGACGGAGCCGUAGGGAAACCGAGUCUGAAUAGGGCGCUUUAGUAUUAUGUCGUAGACCCGAAACCAUGUGACCUACCCAUGAGCAGGUUGAAGGUGCGGUAAAACGCACUGGAGGACCGAACCAGGGCACGUUGAAAAGUGCUUGGAUGACUUGUGGGUAGCGGAGAAAUUCCAAACGAACUUGGAGAUAGCUGGUUCUCUCCGAAAUAGCUUUAGGGCUAGCGUCGACAUUAAGAUUCUUGGAGGUAGAGCACUGUUUGGGUGAGGGGUCCAUCCCGGAUUACCAAUCUCAGAUAAACUCCGAAUGCCAAUGAAUUAUGGUCGGCAGUCAGACUGCGAGUGCUAAGAUCCGUAGUCGAAAGGGAAACAGCCCAGACCACCAGCUAAGGUCCCAAAAUAAUUGUUAAGUGGAAAAGGAUGUGGGGUUGCACAGACAACUAGGAUGUUAGCUUAGAAGCAGCUAUUCAUUCAAAGAGUGCGUAAUAGCUCACUAGUCGAGUGACCCUGCGCCGAAAAUGUACCGGGGCUAAAACAAUUUACCGAAGCUGUGGAUACCUUUUAUAGGUAUGGUAGGAGAGCGUUCUAUGUGUGAAGAAGGUGUACCGUGAGGAGUGCUGGAACGCAUAGAAGUGAGAAUGCCGGUAUGAGUAGCGAAAGACAGGUGAGAAUCCUGUCCACCGUAAGACUAAGGUUUCCAGGGGAAGGCUCGUCCGCCCUGGGUUAGUCGGGACCUAAGGAGAGACCGAAAGGUGUAUCCGAUGGACAACAGGUUGAUAUUCCUGUACUAGAGUAUGUAGUGAUGGAGGGACGCAGUAGGCUAACUAAAGCAGACGAUUGGAAGUGUCUGUCUAAGCAGUGAGGUGUGAAUUGAGUUAAAUGCUUAGUUCUAUAACAUUGAGCUGUGAUGGGGAGCGAAGUUUAGUAGCGAAGUUAGUGACGUCACACUGCCAAGAAAAGCUUCUAGCGUUUAAACAUACUCUACCCGUACCGCAAACCGACACAGGUAGUCGAGGCGAGUAGCCUCAGGUGAGCGAGAGAACUCUCGUUAAGGAACUCGGCAAAAUGACCCCGUAACUUCGGGAGAAGGGGUGCUGGCUUUACGUCAGCCGCAGUGAAUAGGCCCAAGCAACUGUUUAUCAAAAACACAGCUCUCUGCUAAAUCGUAAGAUGAUGUAUAGGGGGUGACGCCUGCCCGGUGCUGGAAGGUUAAGAGGAGUGCUUAGCGCAAGCGAAGGUAUGAAUUGAAGCCCCAGUAAACGGCGGCCGUAACUAUAACGGUCCUAAGGUAGCGAAAUUCCUUGUCGGGUAAGUUCCGACCCGCACGAAAGGCGUAAUGAUUUGGGCACUGUCUCAACGAGAGACUCGGUGAAAUUUUAGUACCUGUGAAGAUGCAGGUUACCCGCGACAGGACGGAAAGACCCCAUGGAGCUUUACUGCAGUUUGAUAUUGAGUGUCUGUACCACAUGUACAGGAUAGGUAGGAGUCUAAGAGAUCGGGACGCCAGUUUCGAAGGAGACGCUGUUGGGAUACUACCCUUGUGUUAUGGCCACUCUAACCCAGAUAGGUGAUCCCUAUCGGAGACAGUGUCUGACGGGCAGUUUGACUGGGGCGGUCGCCUCCUAAAAGGUAACGGAGGCGCCCAAAGGUUCCCUCAGAAUGGUUGGAAAUCAUUCGCAGAGUGUAAAGGUAUAAGGGAGCUUGACUGCGAGAGCUACAACUCGAGCAGGGACGAAAGUCGGGCUUAGUGAUCCGGUGGUUCCG
rnacentral:rRNA from 1 species